rnacentral:rRNA from 1 species
CGUGUAGGCGGGUCGUUAAGUCGGGGUGAAAGCCCAGAGCUCAACUCUGGAACUGCCUUCGAUACUGGCGACCUGGACCCAAGUAGAGGCGAGUGGAAUUACGAGUGUAGAGGUGAAAUUCGUAGAUAUUCGUAGGAACACCAAUGGCGAAGGCGACUCGCUGGACUUGUGGUGACGCUGAGACGCGAAAGCGUGGGGAGCAAACA